UACAGAGGUCCCAAGCGUUACUGAGAAUCACUGGGUUUAAAGGGCGCGCAGGCGGCUGCUCAAGUCAGGCGUGAAAGGCCUGGGCUCAACCCGGGAAUUGCGCUUGAGACUGGGCUGGCUUGAGUGCGGGAGAGGAUGGUGGAAUUCCCAGUGUAGAGGUGAAAUUCGUAGAUAUCAGGAGGAACACCAGUGGCGAAGGCGGCUUUCUGGACGGUAACUGACGCUGAGACGCGAAAGCGUGGGGAGCAAACAGG
rnacentral:rRNA from 1 species